UUUUUUUUUUUUUGAGACAGGGUGUCGCUCUGUUGCUCACUGGAGUGCAGUGGCGUGAUCUUGGCUCACUGCAGCCUCAACUUCUUGGGCUCAAGCAAUCCUUCUGCCUCAGCCUCCUGAGUAGCUGGGACUACAUCACAUGCCACUAUACCCAGCUAUUUUUAAAUUUUGUUGUAGAGAUGGGGGUUUCACUAUGUUGCCCAGGCUGGUCUUGAGCUCUUGGUCUCAAGCUCAACCACUUUGCCCUCUUAAAGUACUGGGAUUACAGGUGUGAGCCACUGCGCCUGGCCAUGACUUUUUUUAGAUGUUCAAAUUGUCUCAAGAUGAGCCUGCAGGAAGCCCUUCAAGGUGUCUUCUGUAUCCAUUUGACAUGUCCUCAUUGUUCUUUGAGCACUUCCUUUUUUUGGCACAGCAAGAUCUUCCAGAGUACCAUUCCUGCCCCAAUCCUGAAGUCAGGUGUUUCUCCGAGCCCUGGUUCCUUUCAGUGAAGAAUGGUAUUUAGAAACCAAGAUCUGGGAGCUGGGUAUAGUCAUGUUAUUACAGCGUUGCUGCUUCCAGGUCCUCAUGCAUACAUACAUCCACAUCCAUAGGUAUAUCUCUCCACACUUUUUUUUUUCAGUAUUACUACCAUACUGAAUAUAUCUUGAUAUUUUGGGAACCACGAAUUCAUGCCAGUAAUUCCAAUUCCAAACCUAUAAUUCAGGAUUUAUUCUAGUUUCCUCCCUUUUACAUAUUUACAACCCCAUCUCCAACAGAGAGGCACCUCCCAUUGUCCUCAAUCUAUUUCCUUAUUUGAUCAACCCCUCUGCAUAUAACUAAUCUCCUGUCGCUGCGGACAUCAACCCCACUCCCCUCUUUACACAACACACAAGCAUUAUCCUCACCCUGCUUUGCUGAUACGCCCCACCAGGUCACUGUUGCCUCCCACCAUGAACACCUAUGACUGGUCUGAAACCUAGUGGAUUUUAGACUAACUUACGAAUGAAUUAAGAUGAAAGGGACCUGGGGCCUGGUCUUCCUGUUAGUGUGGGUGCGUGUGUUUGAGACAGCAUCUUGCCACGUUGCUUGGGCACCUCCUGAACUCCCAGGCUCAAAUUAUCCUACUGCCUCAGCCUCCCAAGUAGCUGGGAUUACAGGUGUGAGCCACCACACCUGGCCCUAGUGGAUUACUUUGUAAAAAUCCUCUCCUUCCCUUCAAACUUUAUUUCCUUCUAAUGGCCAAGAAGUUGUGUUUGUUUUUAUAAUUCUGUUUAUUUCCUUUAAAUAUUUAAAAAAAAAAAAAAGGUAACCUGUCACCUUAAUCUAUUUGGGUCUAAGGUUUGAAUAGCAAAGAAUACUGUAUUAUCCCAACCUAUUUGGUUUCUAAACUCUGGAUGCCGUGAGUUUGUGUGAAAAUGUACAUUAAUCUAUGUAGUUCCUGAGCUCACAGUGCAAGUAAGGAUAGCAAGGGUUACCCACAUUUAGAAUUACCUUUCAAUGUCAAAAACACCCAUAAUUUCUCCCAAAUAGAAAUGAAACCUUUAGUGUGCUUUUACUAUCUUUCCCUGAAUCACUUUCAAUAUUUCAAAA
ensembl:lncRNA